UUGAGGGCACAUUUUUCAGGCGCUCUUAACCGAGCUUAAUAGGGAACCCUGUGUAAAUCAGGGACGGGCCCGCCGCUGUAACCGGGGACGAAGGUCGCACCAUGUCACUGGCCCAAAUGGGAUGACGCUUUUUCAGGGCGCAUCGCAGGGCUGGGAAGACGCGACCGCAGGAUGAUCCGGAAGUCAGAAAACCUGCCUGGAAAGUACGCUUUGU
rnacentral:ncRNA from 2 species